AACGAACGCUGGCGGCAGGCUUAACACAUGCAAGUCGAACGCGUGUAGCAAUACACGAGUGGCGCACGGGUGAGUAACGCGUGGAUAUCUGCCUUUUGGUUCGGAAUAACUCCGGGAAACUGGAGCUAAUACCGGAUGGUUCCUACGGGAUAAAGAUUUAUCGCCAAAAGAUGAGUCCGCGUACGAUUAGCUAGUUGGUGAGGUAAUGGCUCACCAAGGCGACGAUCGUUAGCUGGUCUGAGAGGACGAUCAGCCACACUGGGACUGAGACACGGCCCAGACUCCUACGGGAGGCAGCAGUGGGGAAUAUUGGACAAUGGGGGCAACCCUGAUCCAGCCAUGCCGCGUGAGUGAUGAAGGCCUUCGGGUUGUAAGCUCUUUUUGGCGGGGGACGAUGAUGACGGUACCCGCAGAAUAAGCCCCGGCUAACUUCGUGCCAGCAGCCGC
rnacentral:rRNA from 1 species